UACAGAGGGUGCAAGCGUUAUUCGGAAUUACUGGGCGUAAAGCGUGCGUAGACGGUCAUGUAAGUCGGGUGUGAAAGCCCCGGGCUCAACCUGGGAAUUGCAUUCGAGACUGCAUGGCUAGGAUGCGGAAGAGGGAAGCGGAAUUUCCGGUGUAGCGGUGAAAUGCGUAGAUAUCGGAAGGAACACCAGUGGCGAAAGCGGCUUCCUGGUCCAGCAUCGACGUUCAGGCACGAAAGCUAGGGGAGCAAACGGG
rnacentral:rRNA from 1 species